GGUGUUACUGCAGCCAUUGAUUUGGUAGCAUAGAGCUUACAAAUGGGUCUCGUUUGUUUCGAAGUUUUUGGAAUCUUGAAAAGUUUUAGAUGGGUUUGAAGGGAAAGAUGGAACGACCCAAUUGAAAGCAUCUGUUCGAAUUGGAGUUUUCGAUUCAGGUGAGUUGUUUUGGAGAGGUUUCGAUUGAAUUGUGAAUGACAGAAAGUCAGUAACGUUAGGAACUGCCAUUGAUGCUGUCCAUAUUAUUGGAUCGAAGGCCGUUAGGUUGGCC
rnacentral:misc_RNA from 1 species